UCCCGCUUAGCUCAGUGGUAGAGCGCAUCACUUGUAAUGAUGAGGUCAGUCGUUCAACCCGGCUAGUGGGAA
rnacentral:tRNA from 1 species